CACAGGCACAAGAUUGUGCUAGAAAACCUGGGAAAGAGAAAAGGUUGGCCUGUAGUGUGGGGUGACUACAGGCGCCACACGGGCUAUUUGGUGCCGCUAGCGUCCGGAAAAAUGUUGCCCGUGACAGUUUCCUUUCAUUGUUUCUUUCUCCUUCUCUUUCUCUAUUGCAUCCCUCUAUUUUUCUUUUUCCUGAAUCUAUCACAUGUCAAGAGCUUUUUCCUUAGAGGUAUUUAGUUCACAAGAGCAACAUCUGCACUCAAUGUGAUGUCUGAAAACAUUGACAAGAAGCUAUAUUUUUUUGCAGCCAGAUAUGUGCUAUCAAUUGUAAUUUUCACUUUGCAAUGGUUAUGGAUUUGCUGGUGAGAUUAUUCAGUAGAGGAAGGAGAGCUCAUAUUUCUCAAGGAUAACACAGAAAUCAUGCAAAAUCCCCGGCUCUGCUGAUUGCGAGAUGGCAGUAAUUGGCCAAUGUGAUAUGCUUGAUGUCCUGGGAAAACAAAAGAAGGAAGGUUUGUUUGCAUGUAAUUUCCUCUGUCACUCCACUGUAACAUUGAUCUGAGUAUUUAGCCUAGUUAUUUUUUUUUAAGUAUGUGACUUCUUUUUUGUAUUAUGGUGUUUUCUCCUUAGAUAAUUAGUUUAACUGUGUUUCAUGGAGUUUUCCUACUGUGUUUUGCAUUAUUUAGAUAAUAGCAUAGGAAGCCAGUCAAAAUCUACGCAGCUGGUGUGCUUGUGAGCUAUAUUUCUCUUCCUUUGGUUAGAGCAGCAAAAUAGUCUGGAGUGUCAUAACAGUGCGUGAAAAGAUCUUCUCAUAAAUGAGCAGAUGUGUGCGAUGAGUAUUAGCUCUUACUCUUGAAUCAUUGUGUUACGAGUAGAGACAUCAUUGUUCUUUCAACUACCAGAAAUGCAUAGACUAACACUUAUUUUUAGGAAUUUCUUUCUAUUAAUGUUCAAGGGGUAGGCUGCCACUAAUGCUUGCAUUACGAUAGACUGUCUGCAUCACACCCCUUGGGGUGCAACCUUUUGCUGGAGCCUGCGUGAAUGCGGGAUUCUAUGUGCACUGGGUUCCCUUUUUUUAAGGGGUAAUGUAUUUAGCCUUCUGGAUAGAAGUUCAACUGGAAUCUUUUAGAUGGUUUUUAUUUUGUUAUAGAUUAUUUGUGGCUUACUUUUUCCUUUUGCUUCCAUUCUUCUCUUUCUUUUUUUUUCUGUUUUGUAUGAUGAUUCUGUGUACUUCCACACCACAUUAAUUUACUGCAUUAAAAAAUGGAUGAGACUUCAAUUGUUCCCCUCGUAGAAGCUUUCGAUUUGGUAUACAUCAGUAAAGUUUAUCCUCAUACAUCUUUCUUGGUUUAUAGUCGGUUUUUUAUUUUACAGAUUUCUCUCUAUGCCCAUAAUUGCUUCGCUUUUGUUCGUAUUACUCUUAUGUAUGCAGUUCAUUCCAGAUCUUUAACUUGUGAAAUAUACCCAAGGAUCAGUUUCCUCCAAAUGCAUUACUUCUCGAAUCCCUACCCAGCUUAAGGCGUUGAAGGGGGUGCCUACUUGAGAUUUGCUGAUUUUAGUUCUAAUGCAUGUUCAUAUGGGCAUGCAUGUGUAUAGUUGGGUGUUCAUAUUACAUAUGAAUGCAUGUAUUUUUGGAUGUAUUUUGUAUAGAGAAGUGGUGGAUUGAGUGAUUAGAGAGUUGCAAAUGAUGUGAUUGCAAAUAGAUUAUUACAUGCAUUAGAGUGUAUGAUAACGUUGCAGUUGAUGAUGGAUCAAGAAAAGGCAGGAAUGUAUUGAACUUGAUUACGGUUUUACCAAGCAAAUUAUAGUAUCAGAUUAUGCUU